AGGUACACUAUUACGAAAAAUCUAGAAUUUUAAAUAAUUCAAAAUGUAAAAGUAGAAAUUAAUUAUAAUAAGCCUGAAGGAGAAGGAAGUCGGGCUGUCAAGCGAAAGACGAAGAAGAACCUAACUGUCACCUGAAAACUUAAAAUUGAGAAUAUCAGCCUCGAGACUGAGUUAAAAUCAUAUAAUCCUAUAAAAAAUACAAUCUUCUUAAUAAGAUAUUUAUUUAAUCAGAAUAACAUAUCAUAUUAUAUUAAAACAUGUAUCAUGCCAUCAUUUAGAAAAAUACAAUUUAAAUGCUUAUAGAACAAGUACCUCAGCAGAACCCUAACCCCAAUACUACCAGCCUUUCGGCUCUUUUAUUCCAAUAGAUCCGGCAACUAGAGAGCGAAACUCAACCAGGGUUCUUAAUCCAGCCUAAUCACUUGAUUCCCAAAUAAGCCGGCAUAUGCCUAGAGAGCAACGCUCGACUAGGGACCUUCCUCCGACAGUCAAAUUUUCACAGCCUAGAGAGUUUUACUCGACAGGACAAAUUCCAAAAAUAACCUUUACUACUUGUCUCUGAUUAAUACCGGUAUGCACGCGGUCCUGAUGCAACCGAUCAGAUGGCAUGUUUUACUCUCGACUCAUCCAGAAAUUACAAUCAUAGUAUCAAUAAUAUUUAUAAAUAGUAUAAAUAGUAAGCAAACAUAAGUUAUUAAAUAACACAUUAAGAAUUAAAGUUGAAUAACAUCGAGUGAAGCAAAUAUGCAAAUUACAUGCAAUAAUAAUAAUAAUAAUAAUAAAAUAACAAUAAAUAUGAUAGCAAAAUUAAUGAUAAUAAUAAUAAUAACAUCGAUAAUAACGAACAUAAAUUUAUUAUUAAGAAAACACUAGGGUUCGAAAGUCGGUACUAAAACGAUAUCGAAUUUCAAAUUUGGAAGCCCCUGUGCAAAGCUUGAGGGGCGGGAGUUCAAAAAACAUAACUAUUUUUGCCGGAAACUCGUCAAAAGCCAUCGGAUUUAGGCCGGAAAAUCUCAGCUCCAGUGAGGCUGCACACUGCUGCCGGUAGGGAUGACGCGGCUGAGAAGCUCGGCUCGGAGGUUUUCGACGAGGUGGAGCUCGUUCCAGUAUCGGGCGAGCGAAAGGACGGCGAUAGGAGGUUGUUUCGGCAACGGCAGCUCCUCUUUCCCACGCUUGACGUCGACAGCGAGAGGGGAGGAAGGAGAAGGCGGCGCUGGCAAGGGAGGGGAAGGGGGAGAGAAGCUUGGUGGCUGGACGGCGGUGUUGUGGCCGGAAAUGGCAGAAAACGGGGAGGGAGAGAGAGCAGUGAGGAGGAAGAAGAGGGAGGAGGGAGAGGAAAAAGGAAGGAAGGAAAGAAAAAGAAUCUUUCCUCCUUUAUUUAUUAUUAUU
rnacentral:lncRNA from 1 species